UCUAAUCUUAGCAUCCAUGCUCGAUUGUCUGAAUCGUCUUUCAUUCCGUUCCAUCCAGAUAUUAUAUACAGCUGCGGCGAAUACCACUCCUAGGAUGGAUUUCCUUGGGUUUCUACUAUUUACUCUAUCAGAUAACCAUUGGACUUCAUACUCCCAGUUGUGUAACAUUCUAGUGAAGUUCAGCCACCUUAGUAGUCCUUGCCACAGUGAUUGUGAGUAAGGACAGUCAAAGAAAAGGUGAUC
rnacentral:lncRNA from 1 species